rnacentral:rRNA from 1 species
GCCAGCCCGCUCAGAACUUAAAUAGAAUUGACGGGGCCCGGCACAAGCGGUGGAGUAUGUGGUUUAAUUCGAUGCAACGCGAAGAACCUUACCUGGUCUUGACAUCCCGGAGACCCUUAGGAAACUAGGGGGUGCUUCCAUCUGGAAGAAUCUGGAGACAGGUGCUGCAUGGCUGUCGUCAGCUCGUGUCGUGAGAUGUUGGGUUAAGUCCCGUAACGAGCGCAACCCUUGCCUUUAGUUGCCAGCAGUUCGGCUGGGCACUCUAAAGGGACUGCCGGUGUUAAACCGGAGGAAGGUGGGGAUGACGUCAAGUCCUCAUGGCCUUUAUGACCAGGGCUACACACGUACUACAAUGGCCGAUACAAAGGGCAGCGACACUGCGAGGUGAAGCCAAUCCCGUAAAAUCGGUCUCAGUCCGGAUUGGAGUCUGCAACUCGACUCCAUGAAGUUGGAAUCGCUAGUAAUCGUGGAUCAGCAUGCCACGGUGAAUACGUUCCCGGGCCUU